GCUGGGCCGCUUUUAGGAUAUAGGGUGGCUUUGCUUCUCGUGAACACGGGUCCAUGGCGCUAUUCCAUUACCGCACAUUGGGAUGACAUUGGUCUUCCUGUAGACACGGUUGUUUCCGCGAGAGAUCUCUGGGAGCAUAAAACUAUGAAGCAACAUUUUGUUAAUAACCUGACUGCUACGGUGCCACCCCAUGGAUGCAAGAUGUACAUCUUGACGCCAGUGUAGUUUGUACGACCUCACACAAGUUAGAGAAGCAGCAGCAGCUAGAAGACUAUAUUAUGAAGUAGUAGAAGAUUCAAAAUAAAAUUUUAAACAAAAAUGAAGAAGAAGUUGAUCUAGUUAUGAAUAAAUAGGAACUCAAAUUUUUGUUAUGUUUGGCUUGAUUAUUAUGUUUAA